rnacentral:rRNA from 1 species
AGUGAACGCUGGCGGCAGGCCUAAUACAUGCAAGUCGAACGGCAGCACAGCAGAGCUUGCUCUGUGGGUGGCGAGUGGCGGACGGGUGAGGAAUACGUGGGAAUCUGCCCAGUCGUGGGGGAUAACGUAGGGAAACUUACGCUAAUACCGCAUGCGCCCUUCGGGGGAAAGCCGGGGACCUUCGGGCCUGGCGCGAUUGGAUGAGCCCACGUCGGAUUAGCUAGUUGGCGGGGUAAAGGCCCACCAAGGCGACGAUCCGUAGCUGGUCUGAGAGGAUGAUCAGCCACACUGGAACUGAGACACGGUCCAGACUCCUACGGGAGGCAGCAGUAGGGAAUAUUGGACAAUGGGCGCAAGCCUGAUCCAGCCAUGCCGCGUGAGUGAAGAAGGCCCUCGGGUUGUAAAGCUCUUUGUCCGGAAAGAAAAGCGCCGGGUUAAUACCCUGGUGUCCUGACGGUACCGGAAGAAUAAGCACCGGCUAACUUACGUGCCAGCAGCCGCGGUAAU